GCCAGGAGCAGUGCAUUCUCUGGCAAAGGGUGAAGCUCCAGGGAGACCCCGCUGGGUCCCGGCUAGGAGUUCAAACCAGCAAUUAGCCUCCACUGCCUCCCUCUGCAAGCCUUUCAUCUCCUCUCUGCCACACCUCCGUCAUCUCUCCCUCCCUGUCAGGCCUCGGCCUCAGGGCUGCCUGGUGCCACCCUGGAGGAGGUCCUCAGAUGGAGUGACUGGGCCCACCCAAUGGAACUUACAGAGUCCACAAUGCUGCAUGAUGGGUGCUAGUGUAAGGCGGGAGGAGACAGGAGCUCAGUGCAGACCGUCUGAAGCGGUCUGAGCAUGCAGUCUAAGGAAGCAGUCGGAAGACAGGAUCGUCCCUUCCGUCUGAGUAUUGGUAGAGCUCUUCUCACUCACUAUUCUCCAGCCGGUGCUCCAUACCAGGUGCUCUCUACCGAGUGGCUCUUCAUACUGUGACCGUAGGAUCUGCAGGAUCCUCUUUGCUUGUCAGCAAGGCUGAAUCAAACCGUCACCCGGGCCCACUGAAGUAGACCGCCUCUUUGGGAGUUCUCAAGUGAGUCAUUUACACAUGGGGCAUCACUGCUGGAGGGUGUCCUCAAAGUCUUGCCAGUCGUCUGUCCAAGCCUCAUAUAGGGCCUGGGGAGGUAAUUCUAUUGUGUUUGCUUCAUAAGUGUGAGGACCCAAGUUCAAUCCCCGGAACCCAGGGCAGCAGUGUGCUUCUGUAAUCUUAGCAUUGCGGAGGUGGAGAUGGGAGGACCUGGAGUUUUCUGGUCAGCUGGAGCUGAAGAGUCAGUCAUGAUCAAUAAACUAGCAGCAUCACUGAAGUGAAACCAUUGUGUUAUUGGGGCAACUGGUGCUGGUUGGCUGGAGCUAAGAAACUAGCAGUGAUUCAGAAGAGACCAGCAUCACCCAGGUGAAAUCUUCAGGGAAAGGUGUCCUGAGAGCACAGAGAUGGCUCUGUGCUCCAGACAUGGCCAUGGUUGUACCUCACGCUGGCAGCUGGAUUUGGUAAUAUGCUAGAGUCACCCAGGUGGUACUGGUUUGGAAGACAUGAAGGGGUCAUGGCAAACAACUGAUGCUCGGCAAUGUGAGAGGCCAGGAGAGGUCAUUGGUGAAGGUGCAGCCUCAGUGGCAGUUGAAGGCCCAGGACUGAAGGGGUCAUGCAAAGAAGUGGAGGCUCAGCACCAUGAAGAGAGCCUAUGAGAGGCUAUUGGCGGAAGUGCAGCCCAGUGGCAGGAGAAGACCCCUGAAUUUUGGAGAUGCCAGGACCAUGGAAUGAGCGCUAAGAACAGCAGCAGAAGACAUAGGCUAUGUGUGCCUUAGAGAGAGGAGCCGGAGAAGUGACCCCAGCCCUUGGAGGAGUCCUGAAGAUUGGUUAAAAAAGGAAUGCUUUUGUCCCAAGAUAAGAACGGAGGAGAGCACAAAUCACUUCUAAUGAGCACUGUACUAGAGAUUCUAGCCAGUGCAAUCAGGUGAGAAAACAAACAGAUGUCUGGAUUGGAAAGCAAGACCCCAUCCUGUGUGAAGAUGUUCUCAAGGAAUACAGAAAACAGCUACUAGCGCUAAAGAAUCCAGCAAUGUUUUAGGACACAUACGCUGUCAACUGUAUUUCUAUAUAGAAGCAAUGAACAAUCUGGAAAUGAAAUCAAUAAUUCCACCUCUAUUAGCCUGAUUUCUAUCAAGAUUCCAGCAAGGCAUUUAACAGACAUAGACAACUUGUCACCGAGUCUGUAUGGCAGGAGCUAGAGUAGCUGACACACUCUCGAGAAAGAACAAAGUGGGAAGAGUUGCUCCGCCCACAAGGCUUACUGUUCAGCUACAGUUAUCAAGGCUCUGUGGUGUUUGAAGGAGGAGGCUCAGAGAUCAAAGGGGCAGAAUAAUAAACCCACAGUAACUAUGUUCAACCCACUGACAAAGGUACAAAAGCUAUUCAGUGGAGGGCGGGGGACAGCCCUUCAAAUGGCACCGCAGCUAUUAGAUAUUCUUGGGCAAAAUAUAAGUCUAAACCUGGAAUGUGGCUGGCUUAGGUAGAGACUGCUUAGCAUGCCCCGGGUUUGAUCCUUAGACCACAGAAGGUGUGGAGGGUGACACAGGUAACUGAAUCUCACAACUCAAACUUAAAUACACUUAAAGUUUGAUCACUUAAAUACAGAACGCAAAAUAUAAAAUGCAGGGGAGGAAGAAGCAGAGCCUCCAAGACAAGGGCUAGGUAGAGAUGAAGUUCUUAUGCAAUAUCAAACUCCAUGUGAGAAUCAAAACAUUGCCUCACCGAGCAGCCGGUAACAAGGGUUGCUAAGUGAGGCUCAGGUGUCUAGGAGGGACAACAGCAGGCUGUGGCUGGGAGUCUUGCUUGAUCCAGGUGUAUAAUAUGCACAAAUACUGUCACCAUAGACCACUUGGCCUAAAUCUCAUGAGCGUCCCUCAGAAACCAUGCAAAACACAUAUUGAGCAAGCAAAUACUAGUCAAAUCCAAUGAAAGGCAAAUCCAGGUCAGGCAGCACAGACAAGAACUGGCUUAUAGUCAGCCCUUUCUCAUGAAGUCUCUGCUCACUCUCUCAAGCUCCAUGCCCAGAACCAAGAGGACAGGUUGAGCCCAGGCUCUAGAGUCUUACUGCUGAGAAGCAGUUCCGAGAGAAGACUCAGCUCCACUGCAGUCACCCCUGUGCUUCUCUGGGAGCAAAGUAGUCUCUGCUAUCCGGAAGACUUGCAGGUUUGGAAGACUCUGGAGACCAGGUCCAUUUGGUAAUGGCCAUUUUCACCGGAAACCCCUACAAAUAUUAAGCGUGGUGCCAGGUUACACAAACCACAUGAACAGCACGGUGAAGGAAACUCUUGCCAUCAGUGAGUGAAACGACUGGGAACUUUCUUCCUAGGCUAACCCAGUCUGCCUUUCACACGCUCAGUCCAGCCCUGAUGCCUUCACUCUACCCUCCGUUAGCCCGUUAACCACCAGGACCAGUGAGAAUGCCUCAGAAGGCACAUCUGACCGCUUCUGUCCACCAUCACCCCCAGUCCCCCCUGCUUCUAUCCACCAUCACCCCCAGUCCCCCCUGCUUCUGUCCACCAUCAUCCCCACCCCACCCCCCACUUCUGUCCACCAUCGCCCAAAGUCUAGAUUCUUGCUCUAUUCCUACCUGCUUCUCUAAUUCCAUCUGCAAUCUCCAGCCUGAGAAGGGCCUUAAACCAGUCAAAUCAGUACCCCCAGCUUAGAAUGUAAAGUUCUUGCUCUGGCAUAGGUCCUGUUCUCCAAUCCUUUCUCCAUCUAUUCUUCCCUCUUUCCCUUUCUUCCUGGCUCCUCUGAAGGCCAUUCUUGCUCCUUCCUCUGAUCAUUUCACCAAGAGUGUUGCCCUGCCCAAAGGCUGACUGCUGGUUACUCAGGUCUUGGCUCAGAGCAGAAGACUCCUAUCUACUCCACAUCCCCCAUCUCCAGAGACACCUGCCGUAGAACUACUAUCCUGGGCCUAAUGACAUGCACUUAGAUUGCAGUUACAUUGGUCCUUCAGAGCUGUUUUGACUUGGGCCUUGGAUAGCCAGACCCUUGUCACCUUGUAUUGAUCUGUCUUUAUAUGGAACCUUUCCAGGGCCACCUCUGGUUGAGUGCACAGCUGAGACCACCCCUGGGGCUAUCAGUCAGAUGCUGCUUGCCAAGUGUACUCCUAGUAGCUCUCAGAACAGGUGUUUACACAAAGAUGUCUGGGAGGUGAGGCAGUGUUCACGCGAACUUGCCUGUCCAAUGGCCUUCAUGUGUGCUCAUGUGGUUUUCCCUCCACCAACAGAGGCUCCCAAGAAGUAUGGCUUUGCCUGCCUCGCACCUGAUUGUAAAGUCAGCACACAGGAAGUGUUGAGCGUUUUGCAUCCAGUGUUCACAAUGCCCUGGAAAAGCUGUUUGUCUAUCCAUUUGUUCUCCGCCACCCCCUCCCCCACUGUAUAGUGAAGAAAGGGUCAGCUUACAAAACCUCUUCGUAAGGGCGCACAGUCAAAGGCAGCUCAUCUAACUCCAUGGCCCACAUCCCUUCCACUACACCGGAAAGAUGGGAAGAAGACAGCUAGAAAGUUGGUCCUAUGUUGAAAGAUGAAGGUGGAUGUUCUAGAUGUGGUAAUCAGAUUGCAAAUCAUUAAAGACACGUGCCAUCCCUCA